CAUGUGAUUAUUAGGCCAGAAAAUCAUCAUUUAAGAAUUUUUCAGUCCCCAUUUGAAACUCAGGUCUCAUCAGAGAUCUGGGCAGAACAAGUCUAGGAAUCCAGCUCAGAAAACUGUGGGAGAGGCUAAUCCCCAUCCCCCGACCUGGUGGGGACACCUGCUCAUGUGGACACAGUGUUUUACAUACACAGAGACAGGCCGGCAGGGACAGAGGCAGAGUGAUCCAUCUGUUCUUCUUCUCUAACCCACUGCCAGGUCUGCCCCCAAAGGUGGCAUGAACCAGGACCACAGCAGCCAGUGGGAAUGCCAACUGGGAUGCAGCUGGAACUGGAGCGAGAAUUUGAGGUUUUUCCUGGGACGUUGACAACCAGCGAAAGAAAAGUGAUAUUAGAAGCAACUGCGGAGAGAAGAAAAUCAAAUGGAAGCUUCAUGGAUGCUCCCAAGUCUAUGAAACACUUCACGUUGGUAUCUUCCAAGUAGUCAAAAGCAGCUGAUUAGGUCAUUUAGCCUUUGGAAGCGAUAUUACUGGAAACAGGAUGGAACUGAAUUCACAAUACCGUCCAGUCUGGGCCAAGAGGCAAGAAUGUGAAUGAUCCAUAAUUCAUUUGUCCAUUCUUGUUCCUCUGUCCUUGCUAGUGACCACCAUAGUUUUAUCGUCUAGACUGCAAGACUCCA